rnacentral:rRNA from 1 species
GGAAUCGCUAGUAAUCGCGGAUCAGCAUGCCGCGGUGAAUACGUUCCCGGGCCUUGUGCACACCGCCGUCACACCAUGAGAGUCGGGAACACCCGAAGUCCGUAGCCUAACCGCAAGGAGGGCGCGGCGAAGGUGGGUUCGAUAAUUGGGGUGAAGUCGUAACAAGGUAAC